GGCUCGGUAGCUCAGUCGGUAGAGCAGAGGAUUGAAAAUCCUUGUGUCGGCGGUUCAAUUCCGUCCCGAGCCACCA
rnacentral:tRNA from 3 species